CGUGCGCUACAUCACACCCAAUAAUUACCCAUGCAGCCCGGGGCCCACACCGUCUCGGCGGCCAUGAGAGGAGGACCUCCUCCUUUUUCUCUCAAGCUAAUCCCUUCCAAUAUAAUAACCCCCCUCAAAAGAACAAGAAUCAACCGCCACCGACCACCAACCUUGUGCCUCGGCAACUCCAUGGGCGACCAAGGCGGCGCCUCAACGACGGAGACUCGACCAAUUGAGGCGCCGACGAGGAAAAAAGAAGACGGAGAGCCGGAAAAGGAAGUCCCGCCGCCGCCGCCUCCGCCUGAGAAGCCGGAGCCCGGCGAUUGCUGCGGCAGCGGUUGCGUCCGAUGCGUUUGGGACGUGUAUUACGACGAGCUCGACGAAUAUAAC
rnacentral:lncRNA from 1 species